CAUGCCAAAGGCCCAUUUGAGUAACACUCUCUAGAAACCCUAAGUUACUGACCAAAAGGAAAGGUUGCGCUAAAAUAUUCAUUUUACCCGAAAUUAAUUUCACUGAUAUCGAUUAAGAAGAAGACAAAUAAAAUAGAACGCAAUGCUCUCUCGAUCCACUCAUUUGCUUUCUCUACGAAUCCUCCAUAAACGAAAAAAAGAAAGAAAACAACGCAAUAUCUCAUCUCUCGACACUCUGUUCUUUUUUGCCAUGGAUUCUCUUUACUUCUGAUUUUCACUCUAUUCUUCCAUGUUCAAAGCAAAAAAGCUCUAAAAUCGGACUUGAAUCCCUGAGAAAAAAACCCAAAAUCGACCAAGCAUCCGUCUUGUCAUUGAUGGAGAGUUUGCUCGAUUGGUGAGGUUCUGUCGGGAAUAGACGCGUGUUGACAAGGGUUGUGUAUUGCAGGUUCGGAGUUUGUGGUUAAGGAUGGGUUUUGUGAUGGUUUAGUGGUUGAAGGUGAGUAUGAAUAUGGGUUAGGGUUGAUCUUAGAAGAAGUUCUUUGUGCUAUCUGUUGCAGGUAUGUGAAGGUUUAUGGGACUAAGGGGAGAGUAUGAGUUAUGGUUGAGUGUUGUGGUUUUGAAGUGAAGUUGAGAGUAAGUGAGGAAAGGUUUAGUUUGAAGGUUUGUGUGAUUUAUGGGUAGAGUUAAAGUAGAGCAUUUGUAAGGUUUUGUGUUGGUGAUGUUCCUUGUGUGAAGUUAAGAAUUCUUUGAAGGAGGUAACUUCAUGGAACAUGAUGGAAGGAUGGUGAAAGCUUUGGUUGGAAGCUUGAAGAUAGAGAAAUGUCUAUGGAGAUAUGCUUGGAAACCAAAUUUGGCAUGAAAUUAUGAAGAGCUCAGCUUUGUAACUUUGUUAAUUUAGGUUUAGGCUUAGAACUUAGGAGGAAUCUUGAAUAGGAAAAUUUGCUUUUUCUCUUAAAGGAAUUCUCUUGUAAAUUGGCUUGCAACAUGAAAGAAACAUUCUUGUAAUA